GUGUUCGUUAUUUAGGGCGCAUGGUGGAUGCCUUGGCAUGCUGAGCCGAUGAAGGACGUGAAAGGCUGCGUUAAGCCUCGGGGAGUUGUCAAUUAAGCGUUGAUCCGAGGAUGUCCGAAUGGGGAAACCUGGCCCUGGUUAUGUGGGGUUACCCUUCAGUGAAUUCAUAGCUGUUGUGGGGGUUUACGCGGGGAAGUGAAACAUCUCAGUACCCGUAGGAGGAGAAAAUAAUAAUGAUUCUGCUAGUAGUGGCGAACGAACGUGGAUGAGGCUAAACCGUGUGCAUGUGAUACCUGGUAGGGGUUGUGUGUGCGGUGUUGUGGGCCCCAACGUGCGGUGACUACCAUCAUCGUGCUUGUGUGUUGUUGUUAGGUGAAGUGGUUUGGAAUGACCUGCCGGAGAAGGUGAGAGUCCUGUAGUUGAAGACAAUGGCAUGCAGGUUGUUGGGUUGCCCGAGUAGCAGCGGGCUCGUGGAAUCUGUUGUGAAUCUGCCGGGACCACCCGGUAAGCCUAAAUACUCAGUGUGACCGAUAGUGUAUUAAGUACCGUGAGGGAAUGGUGAAAAGUACCCCGGGAGGGGAGUGAAAUAGUUCCUGAAACCAUGUGCUUACAAUCCGUCAGAGCACCGUUUGUGUGUGAUGGCGUGCCUUUUGAAGAAUGAGCCUGCGAGUCAGCGGCAUGUCGCGAGGUUAACCCGUGUGGGGUAGCCGUAGGGAAACCGAAUCCUAAUGGGGUGUCAAGUGGCAUGUCCUGGACCCGAAGCGGGGUGAUCUACCCAUGGCCAGUGUGAAGCAGCUGUAAGAGGUUGUGGAGGCGCGAACCCACGUAGGUUGAAAACUGCGGGGAUGAGCUGUGGGUAGGGGUGAAAGGCCAAUCAAACUCCGUGAUAGCUGGUUCUCCCCGAAAUGCAUUUAGGUGCAGCGUCGUAUUAUAGCUUGGUGGAGGUAGAGCGACUGGUUGGUUGAGCGGGACUACAAUCUUAGCAAUGUCAGCCAAACUCCGAAUGCCACUAAUUGUGUUGUACGGCAGUGAGACUGUGGGGGAUAAGCUUCAUAGUCGAGAGGGAAACAGCCCAGAUCGCCGGUUAAGGCCCCUAAGGGUGUACUAAGUGGAAAAGGAUGUGGGAUCGCGAAGACAGCCAGGAGGUUGGCUUAGAAGCAGCCAUCCUUGAAAGAGUGCGUAAUAGCUCACUGGUCGAGUGGUUCUGCGCCGACAAUUCAGUGGGGCUCAAGUACACCGCCGAAGCCGCGGCAAGCAAUUUUUUGUUUGGGUAGGGGAGCGUCGUGCAUGGGUGGAAGCGUUACCGUAAGGAGGCGUGGACUGUGUGCGAGUGAGAAUGCAGGCAUGAGUAACGAAUUGAUAGGUGAGAAUCCUAUCCGCCGGAUGACUAAGGGUUCCUGGGUCAAGUUCGUCUUCCCAGGGUGAGUCGGGACCUAAGGCGAGGCCGACAGGCGUAGUCGAUGGAUAACCAGUUGAUAUUCUGGUACCCGUACAUGCGCGCCCAUGAUGAAGCACUGAUACUAACCACCGCGGAUGCACUACCG
rnacentral:rRNA from 1 species